rfam:Schistosoma rodhaini strain Burundi genome assembly, scaffold: SROB_scaffold0003403
AUCCAGCUGACGAAUCUCAAAUAAGGACGAAACGCGCGUCAAACUGGAU